rnacentral:rRNA from 1 species
UACGUAGGGGGCAAGCGUUGUCCGGAUUUAUUGGGCGUAAAGAGCGUGUAGGCGGCCAAGCAGGUCAGCUGUGAAAACUCGAGGCUCAACCUCGAGACGUCGGUUGAAACCGCUUGGCUAGAGUCCGGAAGAGGAGAGUGGAAUUCCCGGUGUAGCGGUGAAAUGCGCAGAUAUCGGGGAGAACACCCGUGGCGAAGGCGGCUCUCUGGGACGGUACUGACGCUGAGACGCGAAAGCGUGGGGAGCGAACAGG